rnacentral:sRNA from 1 species
AUGGAAAGGCGGGGCCCGCUGAAAGAAGGCGACCCGAGUUCUACUUCCUAGUAAGGGACGUCUCUGGAGAGAUCCUGAGGUUUUUGAGCCUCUUUUGCCUACACACCGGCAGGCCACCCAUGGGCCUUGGCCCCGCCCCCUACCCAUGGCUGGCAGAUUCGUGGCCCCACCCAUCUCGAAGCCCCUCGGCCCAGGAACCCAGGGGAAGCUGCUGCCCUAGCAAUCCUGACCCGGACGACAGAUAUUACAAUGAAGCAGGAAUCUCUCUGUAUCUGGCUCAGACGGCCCGGGGCACGGCCGCCCCUGGCGAGGGUCCUGUCUAUAGCACCAUUGACCCAGCGGCGGAGGAGCUGCAGACCUUCCAUGGAGGCUUCCCCCAACAUCCCUCAGGAGACCUGGGCCCCUGGAGCCAGUACGCUCCUCCAGAGUGGAGCCAGGCGGACAGUGGAGCCAAGGGAGGCAAAGUGAAGCUUCUGGGGAAACCUGUGCAGAUGCCCUCUCUGAACUGGCCAGAAGCCCUGCCCCCACCUCCUCCUUCUUGUGAACUGAGCUGCCUAGAGGGGCCGGAGGAGGAGCUGGAGGGCAGCUCAGAGCCAGAGGAGUGGUGCCCGCCAAUGCCUGAGAGAAGUCACCUGAUGGAACCCAGCUCCAGUGGGGGGUGCCCGGUCACUCCAUCCCUAAGGGAAACCCCCUCUCCCACGCCUUCCUAUGGACAGCAGUCCACAGCCACUCUUACGCCCUCACCUCCUGACCCUCCCCAGCCCCCAACUGACAUGCCCCAUCUCCAUCAGAUGCCCAGGAGGGUGCCUCUUGGGCCGAGUUCCCCUCUCAGUGUAUCCCAGCCCAUGCUGGGCAUCCGUGAAGGGAGGCCUGCUGGCUUGGGUGCUGGCCCUGCAGCCUCACCCCACCUCAGCCCCAGUCCUGCCCCUAGCACAGCCAGCAGUGCCCCAGGCAGAACCUGGCAGGGGAAUGGGGAGAUGACUCCCCCACUUCAAGGACCCCGUGCUCGAUUCCGGAAGAAACCCAAGGCUCUUCCCUACAGGAGGGAGAACAGUCCUGGGGACUUGCCCCCACCACCCUUGCCACCGCCAGAGGAAGAGGCGAGCUGGGCCCUAGAGCUGAGGGCAGCAGGCAGCAUGUCCUCCCUGGAGCGGGAGCGCAGUGGGGAGAGGAAAGCGGUACAGGCUGUGCCCCUGGCAGCCCAGCGGGGGCUCCACCCGGAUGAAGAGGCCUGGCUCCCGUACAGCAGACCAAGCUUCCUGUCCCGCGGCCAGGGCACCAGCACGUGUUCCACGGCCGGCAGCAACUCUUCCAGGGGCUCCAGCAGCUCUAGGGGCUCCCGGGGCCCUGGCCGGAGCCGGAGCCAGAGCCAAAGGCCAGGACAGAAACGCCGAGAGGAACCAAGAUGACCCUUGUUGGGGCAUUGAGAAUAUCAGGAGUGCCAUGGGGAAGGGGAGUAGGGAUGUCUUUUCCCUCCCAGCAGUGAUGAGUGGGGCUAGCUGAAGCCCAUUGGUUUCCACGAUUUCAAUUGGCUGAGAAGGCAGAGAGCUAGCUCCUCCCUUUCUUUCUCUUUCCACCUGAGACUUGUUUAUAAAAAACAAAACAAUAAAAAGAGUCUGACCAG